UUCAAGUAAGCAUUAUUAAAAUUGGUCGUGAAUGGUCACAACAUUCUGCCGGGUCUCACGUUUCCCGGCUGAUAAGUUUUUUUCAAAAUCUAUCCAGCUACCCCUUGAACAAAUCACCAUGCUAUCUGAGGUUUCAAAUACCACUAACAUUUGUAGUUUAAAAUUAUUAAACAUGUUUUUAUGUUAACUGCUCCUUAUUUCUUAAUGUUCUGCAGCCAACAUUGUGUGUUAAUGUUGCUACUACUAACCAAGUAAUUGCUAAUCCAAAUGAAUGGUACCACAAAGCAUGCCACCAGUGCCUUCAGGUUGCAAAGAGCGACGCUCCAUCUUACUUUUGCAGGGACGGACACCGAACUUAGACGUAGACAUGGAGGUUUAAGAUAGUUAUCGAAGUUGUGCAUGAAGGAAAUGCGGCGAACUUCGUGUUCUGGGACAAUGAGGCUGCUGAACUUUUAAAAACAACUGCUGCACAUCUUCGUGCAACCAUGAAAGAGGUUGUUGCUGCGUAUAUGAUGAGUCAAACUCUAAAUGAGAAGGGAUACAAUGCAUAUGCCUUCUCCAUUCCUUCAGGGAAGGAGUUUCUGUCCAUACUUAGUCUUGCUGCUCCUGUAUUUGUGACAUUGAUGUUGAAGGUGGCUUUCUACUAUCUACUUAUAUAUUUUGCUACAAUGAGUACACAUAAAAUGGUUGCUUAUCAAGUUAGUUUUUCUCUGAAAUCUGGAAGUGAAAUAGUGAUGAGUUAUUACGUUUAGCUUUUUAAAUCUGGUUUUUUGUUCUAUUUGUAGGUUAGCGAUUGGUUCGUCACGGGUCAGUGUUUGUUUUGUUUGUAUCACAGGAAAUGUUUUUUCCUUUGGAGAAUCGAGGGCUUUAACAGGUGCGGGAAAGUUUGGCUACUUAAAGAUUCACCGGCGGGCUACAAAAAACUAUUACCAAUUUCAUUACUUCAGGAUAAGCCAAUAGGAAAAAGAAUUCAUUUUCAGAUUUUACAGAUAAUUACUUUCUCAGUGAUACAGCAACUGAUUUGGAUAAGUCUUUCGUCAUUGUUUGCCUUCAAUGCCCGAAUCAACCAAAUAACCGCACAUGUUAAACCAUGUUGUGUGAUAAUGAUGCAGGGCAGAACCGAGUCAUACAACUGUUGUACCGAAUGAUCUCGGGGCUGAACAGGGUCAUACAAAUGUUAUACUGAAUGAUGCAGGGGCAAAACCGAGUCCUACAGCUGAUAUACUGAACAUUGUAGGUACUGGCUGAAGGCAAAACCGAGUCCUCAGAUUCAUGGAGGUUCUGGUGGAAUUGAUAUAUUUGCGAUUCAGGCAGCGAAGUUGGGCAGAUCGAGAGUAAUUGUUGUUGCAGGUGAUGAAGAGAGGCUAUCUUAUUGCGAGAGUAUGGGAAGCAAUUGUUCCACAAAAUAUGCACCCUCAAUAACCUUUUUUUUCUUCAACUGCUCUUCAAGGGUCAUUGUGCUUAGAUUAAUCUGAUUUUCUCUCCAUGCCUCUAUGCAUAUGGAUUCUCUUGCACUCUGAUGCUGGUCCAAGGAUUGCUUCAGUGGCUGGAAUCCUUAGCACUUAGCUACAUAGAUUAGAUGCUUUUUUUCAUUUCAAGAGGGUGGCAAAUUGAUCCCUUUGGCCAUUAUGCUGUGCAGGCUUACUUAUUGGAGUUGAAGUAUGCCAUAAAAUUUCAAAACAAUGGCUCUUUUGCUUAACAUAUUCUGAAAAACUAAUUAAUCAUCAAGAUUUAAACAAAUUGCCGAUGGUGUUGUUGGUUUGUCGAAUCAUGGAGGUGGAAACUGGUAUCAUUUCGGUCAUGCAACAAAGGGAGUAAUAGUCAGUGUAAAACUAAUAGUUCGGAAAAAGUCGACCAAUUGCUGAUGGACAAUUGCUGUAAGUAUAAUCUAUUUUUUACUUUGUAUACACAUACCGUCAGUCUAAAGUACUUGAGAUUUGGAGUCAAUCUAAUGUUGGUUUCAAUAGUUUAAACACAUUUUGCUUUCCUAACGUGAUUCAUAGCCCAAGUGAUGAUACCGCCAGUUUAAACAUGCUUCGAAUCUUCGGGACUGGUAUUGCUGAACUUCCUUUAGUUCCAACAAGUAACAGUCAUUAUGGGAAGAUGAGACAUUACUGGAUGCAUGUCUCACUUGCAUCGUACACUUUUCUUUAUUUCAGUGAAACUUUGUGCUAAAAUUUUGAGUGGUUUGCCGUGUAUUGUGGUCACUUGCGGAAAUAACUUGGUAUUGCAUUAAUUAUACUUAUUUUGGUUUGGUAAAAAACAUGUCUACUUCCAAACACUCUUCUCCUGCCUUAAAAGGCUACUGGCCUUUAUGAAAGUAAAGAAAAUUGUGGUACCGACGGCAGAUGAAACAAUUUCGGUUUAUCAAAAUUCUGAUCUGAUAUAGCGGCAUAACGCUGCUAUAAUUGCUAUUUAAUCAUGAGAACCAAUUGAUUCUUGGACGAGAAGAGAAGUGAGAACCAAUAAAUUUCUUAUAGAAUAUUAUUUUUGUAGUUAAAUAUAUGACCUUAUAGCUUACUGGUGUGCAUAGCUGUAUUUGACGAAUAUGUUAUUAAUG